AUUGAACGCUGGCGGCAUGCCUUACACAUGCAAGUCGAACGGUAACGCGGGGCAACCUGGCGACGAGUGGCGAACGGGUGAGUAAUGCAUCGGAACGUGCCCAGUAGUGGGGGAUAGCCCGGCGAAAGCCGGAUUAAUACCGCAUACGACCUACGGGUGAAAGCGGGGGGACCGUAAGGCCUCGCGCUAUUGGAGCGGCCGAUGUCAGAUUAGGUAGUUGGUGGGGUAAAAGCCUACCAAGCCAACGAUCUGUAGCUGGUCUGAGAGGACGACCAGCCACACUGGGACUGAGACACGGCCCAGACUCCUACGGGAGGCAGCAGUGGGGAAUUUUGGGACAAUGGGCGCAAGCCUGAUCCAGCCAUGCCGCGUGCGGGAAGAAGGCCUUCGGGUUGUAACGCUU
rnacentral:rRNA from 1 species